rnacentral:rRNA from 1 species
AUUGAACGCUAGCGGCAUGCCUAACACAUGCAAGUCGAACGGCAGCACGAGGAGCUUGCUCCUUGGUGGCGAGUGGCGGACGGGUGAGUAACGCGUAAGAAUCUGCCUCGUAGUGGGGGACAACCCGGGGAAACUCGGGCUAAUACCGCAUAAUCUCUUCGGAGCAAAGUUGGGGACCUUCGGGCCUAACACUAUGAGAUGAGCCUGCGUUGGAUUAGCGAGUUGGUGGGGUAAAGGCCUACCAAGGCGACGAUCCAUAGCUGGUCUGAGAGGACGACCAGCCACAAUGGGACUGAGACACGGCCCAGACUCCUACGGGAGGCAGCAGUGGGGAAUAUUGGACAAUGGGCGAAAGCCUGAUCCAGCAAUGCCGCGUGUGUGAAGAAGGCCUUCGGGUUGUAAAGCACUUUUAGUGGGGAAGAAAAAGACAAGGAUAAUACCCUUGGAAAUUGACGUUACCCACAGAAAAAGCACUGGCUAACUCUGUGCCAGCAGCCGCCGUAA